ensembl:snRNA U6 U6 spliceosomal RNA
GUGCUUCUCCAGCUUAUAUACUAAAAUUAGAAAGAUGUGGAGAAGACUAUCAUGGUUUCUGGACAAAAAUGAUAAGGAAAUUCAUGCAGUGCUUCAUAUUUUU